GCCAGCAUGGUAUAGUGGUUUGAAUGUUGGACUCUAACUCUGGAGACCAGGGUUUGAAUUCCAGCUCUGCCA